CGCCGUCCACAUCGGGGGCAAGAAAAAGGUCUGUCGCCGCCAUCGGGAUCUUCUAUUAUGAUAGAGUUACACUAACAUUUGACGUUUUUCACAUUGCGAGGAAUCCGACAUGGUGAGAUCAUAAUUAGUUUCAGAGGCUCCAGCGCCAUUCUCUGAAGCCCAAGUCUCGUUACCGGUUUCUAAUCAAUACAUUUUAAAGAUAAAUAAAUAAAUUCAUAAAUAGUAAAAGUAAAUUUUUUAAAUAUUUAUCCAGGGAGAUAAAAAUUCCAUCCCACCCUGAGCCGAAGCUAUUGCUCCGUAAGAACCAGAAGCGGAAAUGCCACUGAGACUAUGCUGAGAAUUCCCGGCACUCCAGCCUUCAUCAUCUUCUUCCUACAAAAUUGCCAUCAAAUAUUCCUGAUCCGAAUGCCUUUCUUGAUCGUCUUCGAGUUGCUCGCCAACGGUGGGAUCAGUUUCCAUCUCACAGUCUCCGACAUCAGGCGUUUCGUCUGAUUCGGCGGGUUGUUGUUGUUGUAGUUGCUUUCGUUCUGCCAAAGUUUUUGUUCUCUUCGAGACUGCUUUAGGUCCAUGCAAACGCGGUGGGCAAGGCAUUUUUGACUGAGAUUCCGUUUUUUGUAUUGUGCUAUCCACAGCAGUAGCAGGGUUAUCAUUUGCCUUCUGCUUUUUUGAAACAAGACUUGACAUGUAUUUGCGAUGAUUUGGCUUAUCUGCAAGACCUGAAGAAGAAUAAGUGGUUUCACUAUUCAUGUAAAGAUGCAUAAAGGAAAGCUUGGCAUUGUACCUUUAAUUUGCAAUGCUUCAGCGGUCUGUAGAAAGCUCUCUAACUGAUACUGAGAGAUGUUGACUUCUCCUCUGGCACAUUGAAAACAUAUUUUUACAAACACAAUAGAAUAUAUUACAAAAUAAAAUACCUGUACAUGAAGUCAACUAAGGAUUUCAGGUCACUGAAUGCAACAUCUUUCAAAAACACAACAGCAUGCUUUUCUGUCUGUUGACUGAGCAAAUCCUGUAUUGGUGCAGAAAUUGAAAAUGAACAAAUGGGUAGAUAAAAUGCAAAAA